UUAUGAUUGGUUUGUUACUAUCUUGGAGAAAAUCACAUAUCAUUCAAAACUUCAAUGCAAUAUGCAUAUGGGCUAACAAUUUCGGUGUCAAUGGCUUGCAGACUGUUGUUUGCCUGGUUUGGUUGGCCAGCUAAUGCUGCUAGAUCGUCAUGAUUGACGACCAAUCCUCGUGGUGGUUUUCUUUUGUUCGAACGACCUGGCACAGAGCUCAGGGGCCUGGCAACUCCAGUACGCCUAGACGAUGGAGAAAUGUAACUAUUGUAUCCCGAUUGCUCAGCAUGAGGUUACAGGGCACAGAAUGGGUAGUAAAGUUCAGAAUGACAUGAUACUUGGAAAAUGGAUGUGAGAAAUGGAAUGAAGCUUCAAAAAUGAGUGAUACUGCUAAUGUCGUUUCAAUUUUCAUUUGGAUUGUAUGGCUUCGACGUGGAUUACAAUGUAUAUUCAGCUAACUACGAUGAAUAACGGUGCUAUCCAGAUUGAUU
rnacentral:lncRNA from 1 species